UCACACUAAUUGUUAUUGACAGUAUUGCUAUAGUCGUUGGUUUUGAGCUUAAAAUAAAAGUUUUUUUUAUACAAAUAUUUUAUAAUUACAUAAAUUUCAAUUUGAAUUUAUUUUCAUUCCUAUUUUUACAUGAACAUAAAAUGACGUCCGCUUGUUGAGGCAGUUUUACUUCAAAAUUUAAUAUCAUAAUUACUGUAAUAAUUAUUUGAGCCGUGUGAGGUUAUAUCAUGAUUACAAAUUUGAUAGCAUAUGUUUUGUUUAUUAUUUUAUCAUUAUAUAUAAUUUUAUUUGUAUUCUGAUGUUUAUCAUUAUAUUAUUUGUGUUUGUAUUAUUUUUAGAACUGGAUCGCUAUCACUUUUUUCCGUUAUCC